AGAGUUUGAUCCUGGCUCAGGACGAACGCUGGCGGCGUGCUUAACACAUGCAAGUCGAACGAUGAAGCCCUUCGGGGUGGAUUAGUGGCGAACGGGUGAGUAACACGUGGGCAAUCUGCCCUUCACUCUGGGACAAGCCCUGGAAACGGGGUCUAAUACCGGAUAACACUCCUGCCCGCAUGGGUGGGGGUUAAAAGCUCCGGCGGUGAAGGAUGAGCCCGCGGCCUAUCAGCUUGUUGGUGAGGUAGUGGCUCACCAAGGCGACGACGGGUAGCCGGCCUGAGAGGGCGACCGGCCACACUGGGACUGAGACACGGCCCAGACUCCUACGGGAGGCAGCAGUGGGGAAUAUUGCACAAUGGGCGAAAGCCUGAUGCAGCGACGCCGCGUGAGGGAUGACGGCCUUCGGGUUGUAAACCUCUUUCAGCAGGGAAGAGGCGAAAGUGACGGUACCUGCAGAAGAAGCGCCGGCUAACUACGUGCCAGCAGCCGCGGUAAUACGUAGGGCGCAAGCGUUGUCCGGAAUUAUUGGGCGUAAAGAGCUCGUAGGCGGCUUGUCACGUCGGGUGUGAAAGCCCGGGGCUUAACCCCGGGUCUGCAUUCGAUACGGGCUAGCUAGAGUGUGGUAGGGGAGAUCGGAAUUCCUGGUGUAGCGGUGAAAUGCGCAGAUAUCAGGAGGAACACCGGUGGCGAAGGCGGAUCUCUGGGCCAUUACUGACGCUGAGGAGCGAAAGCGUGGGGAGCGAACAGGAUUAGAUACCCUGGUAGUCCACGCCGUAAACGGUGGGAACUAGGUGUUGGCGACAUUCCACGUCGUCGGUGCCGCAGCUAACGCAUUAAGUUCCCCGCCUGGGGAGUACGGCCGCAAGGCUAAAACUCAAAGGAAUUGACGG
rnacentral:rRNA from 1 species